rnacentral:rRNA from 1 species
UACGUAGGGGGGCUAGCGUUGUCCGGAAUCAUUGGGCGUAAAGCGCGUGUAGGCGGCCCGGUAAGUCCGCUGUGAAAGUCGGGGGGCUCAACCCUCGGAUGCCGGUGGAUACUGUCGGGCUCGAGUACGGAAGAGGCGAGUGGAAUUCCUGGUGUAGCGGGUGAAAAUGCGCAGAUAUCAGGAGGAACACCAAUUGCGAAGGCAGCUCGCUGGGACGUUACUGACGCUGAGAACGCGAAAAGCGUUGGGGGGAGCAAAACAGG